ensembl:lncRNA
GCUUCUUGACCAAAUAACUGGUUCUGCAAUUAGACAGAUAUGUUUUGUUGUUCAACUGAUUUUAUUUGUUUUUCUGUAUAUCAAAGAAAGCAUAAUGGAGACCAAACACAAAAAGGCAGGUACAAGUGAGGAGGAAAGAAAUAAGCUUAAUCAAAAAUCUAACAAUUCAUAACAACACUGCCACUAUUAUUGUUCAAUAUUCAUAGGAAUACCAUAUUGUAUAUGAGCAGAGACGUGGCAUUUAAAACCAGUAUGAAUCAAUAAUAAUCAAAAACAGUGAUGGGUAGUAAUGAUACAUCGUAUAAGUAGUAGUACAGAUAUAACAAUAGUGAUAAUCCAAAGUGACAAUGAAACAUAAGAGAAUAAAAAGCAGAUCUCCAUAAAAACCUAUCUAGUUUGGACAGUGCAACACCGUGUCUGUGUGUGCGCGUGUGUGUGUGUGUGUGUAAUCCCAGUCUUGAAGUUAAAGCACUCCAGUCCUUGCUUUACACACAAGAUACAGUUUCCAAGAGUACAAAUUAUUACUCAUGAAAGGUAAAUGUUCCCCUCCACGUUUCAAAAAACACACCAAGUGACUCUUAAUGCCAUGUUCAUGGCUGUGUUCAUUUGAAAUGCCUGUAGCUUGUGCAAAGAUUGUGGACUAGUGCAAGUGUCAAGCCGUGGGAUGUUCUUUACAGUUUGCAUCUACGAACAACUCUCCUGCUCUCUGUCGACCUCAGGAUUUGCUUUUUGGUUUUUGAAUGACAGAAAGCAAAGGGAGGAUUACUUUGGAAUAUCAGUUAUUUGUUUAAUAUAUUUCUUUACAAAAAAUUCAUGUUUUAAGUUUUGCAUGUUUGUUAAAACUAUCAAUAGUAACAUUAAUAUACAACUUAAUUUGAAGGAAAACAUCUUUAGUAUGUUAGGUGUCCUUCAACACAGCACCAUCUUAUUAGCUCUCAGUCAACAUGUUUAAUGUUUUCUAAUUUGCUUUCAAGAUUUCAGUAUUCAUUAGUCCCUUGAGGAUACUAGCAAUACCAAACUUUCUCCCUUGUUGUGGAUUCCAGAUACGAGAUCUCAUUUCACAGCACGUACAUUUCCAGAAGUAGUAACUGUUUCAAAACUGAACAAAACGAGGGGAGGGGGGCAGGGGCG